rnacentral:lncRNA from 1 species
UGUCGCGAUAUUAGACCGUAAUAAACCAGCACGUAGAUAAUCAAAUACACGACACGUAACAAGGGCCAAGCAUCCACCAGCACGUAGAACGGGCCGCAUUGGUAAUUUAGGUACCAUUGGUUUGGUCAAUAGCCAAUUCCUAUUUGGCUCGGAUCCAACGGGUCAAACAAACCGGUCAUGCCAAGGAUAAAGAUCAAAGCUUAGAAAUCCCUCGUUUCGGCUCAACCUUCGCUCGAUCGUUCGUUCCUUAUCAUCCUUUAUCCUUUCUUCUCGCGUUAUACUUUUCAACGCCUAGGAAUCGAUGGAUAACUUUUUCUUUUAAAAGAAUCUUUAAGAUCGGUUUCGUCUCGUGAUUCGUUCGUCAAGGAUAAUUCGUUUGUACCUCAUUUGCGAGAUGUAUUACGAAAUUUGCUCGAGUAAAGUCGAUCGAUUUAUUAUUUUUUUUUAAAAUAAAGAACCGAGUUGGACGGAUUUCAUUCGAAGGAAAAAUUAUGAAAAAUUAAACGAUUCGUUGGGUGGGUCGGAAAUUGAACUUUUGUCGUGGAUAGGUGACCGAUCAUGCAAGGGCGCAAACGUCGCUCGAUACUCUUGAGUAUUCACCCAUACUCGGGCUUAGUAAAAUUACUUUUCUCUUCGUCGCACGAAAUCUGAUAAAACGCGGUGAGAGGAGAGAGAGAUCGAGAUAAAACUAUUUUCGUAUUUACUUUUACAAAAAAUUUAUUAUAUAUCACGAAUAUUUAAGAAAAUUCUCGAUUUUUAAUUACACGUGUAACGAAUAUAGAUCCUUUUCGUAUCAAAUCGUUGUAGUUUCUUUUUCAUUAAGGUCGAAAGAGAAAGGAAAAGACAUUCCGUUUUAAUCUUUCCAAAGGAAUUAUUCGAUCGAGGGAAGAGCGAGGAAAGAAGUUAAGGGAAGGGUGUUUCCUUCUUUUCCUAGUCAUAUUUCGCACUUCUCUUUUUCACUCUAUUUUACUUUACUGUACAUAUACUUUCAUCCCCGUGUUAAUCGGUACACCUGGAUCUUUUAAUUUUAGCAAUCCAAGGACUUUGCGCCCCAGUUUUCGAAAACCUAGUUAGAGAAUAUAUAUUCGCAAGAGUUAUGUAUAUCGACCGUUCCUGCUCCCACUCCUUUUCAUCUUUGUUCUCUUCGUUUCCCGUCCCGUCUCUAGAUUUCCAACAGUGGCGUAACAUCGCCUCGAUGUUCCGUUGCCAAAUGGAAAAUUUCAUUCUCUCUUCUCGUUACACAAGGUUUGUUCGUUCACGAUUUGUCGAAUAUCGACGAAUAGUUCAACGUAACGGAGAGAUGAUCGUUUCUUCGGAUAUCGAGUCACAAAAGAUUUUCCUUCCUGUAUCCUAUUUCUUUUUUCGUCCCCCUUUCAAUCAAAUUUCAUCGAAUUUCUUCUCGUAUAAUGUAUAAAAAUAUCUCGAGUUUACGUUCAAUCUGAACGGAUAAUCGAUCCUUCCACUCUUGGCGACGAAAGAUCCGAUCGGAGGGAAAGUUUUUUGCCUCGUAAAAAGGAGGGGGGAGCAAUCUUGGUUUAUAGUCGCGUUUAAUUAUGCGUAUGGAUCUAUAAGAGGGCUCGUAGGAGAGCCUGGCAUGAUCGGCGGCUCGAGUAUACCCUCGAGUAUACUCCUAUCUAGCUUUAUAACGCGCGUUGACGUUGUCUCGGUAGUGAGUCAGCGGCCAGCUGCCUGUCCUUACCUUAUUAAAGCGCACGUGCUAUCGCUCGUAAUCUCAUAAAUAUACGCGGGAUAACGGGGCACGCGUGUAUACGCGUCGAAGCAAAAAAUAUUAUCAAUUAUUGCGCACGAUACGCGGUCAAACGUGAUGAGCCGAGUGCAAGUAUUCGAACGAGAGAUGAAAAUCGAUCGGACGAUUGCUAAUGCGAAAAUGGAAAUGAAAAUUGACGGAUGGGAGAUCGUAGAUCGAUAAAGAAAUGGGAUAUCGAACAGGAGAGAGAAAAAAAAGAAACAUUUUCUCAAUCAUAUAACGUUCGAAAGCAGGACCGGUCCCAUGCCGAAUACGAAUACCAUCUAUAUUAUUUGCCAUGACUUAGGAACAUGGUAUCAAAUCAUAAACAAAUAUUCCGGUAACGAGAAGCAAACAGUGCGUUCGUGGGACAGUGGGUGGAUGGUGGAUGGUAGCGUAGGGUAAUGGUAGGUAACCAAAAGAGAUAUAAAAGACAAAAAGAACGGAGGGAAGGGUAUAACAAACGAAAAUGAGCCGAUAUUCGCCCUACGACGAAUUCAAACUAGCAACUACUACUAUAGAUUAAAUAUAGUCUAUCAACGAGAAAAUUCUGAAAUAAAAAUUCGUUUCAAGAUUUAUUAUUA